UACGGAGGGGGCUAGCGUUGUUCGGAAUUACUGGGCGUAAAGCGCACGUAGGCGGCUUUGUAAGUUAGAGGUGAAAGCCCGGGGCUCAACUCCGGAAUUGCCUUUAAGACUGCAUCGCUAGAAUUGUGGAGAGGUAAGUGGAAUUCCGAGUGUAGAGGUGAAAUUCGUAGAUAUUCGCAAGAACACCGGUGGCGAAGGCGGCCAACUGGACCAGCACUGACGCUGAGGCGCGAAAGCGUGGGGAGCAAACAGG
rnacentral:rRNA from 1 species